ensembl:lncRNA
CAAAAAAUGAACCACAGCCUGCUCUGAUCUGGUGACACUGAGAGACUGGUGGGACAGAAUAAAUCAGAAGGAAACUCAGCCAUUCUUCUUCUGAAAUAUGACAGAAAAUGCUGAGGAAGUUGCCUGAUGCAAAUACCUAUCAUAAAUACCCCUGGGCCUUUUUUUUCUUUUCAUGUGGAAGAUGAAGCAAAGACAGAAAAGGAAAACUAAAAGUAAAAGGUUGGCUGCAUUGCUAAAAUCUGGAUCGUCACUUUUUAAGUACUUGCUUAAAGAUGUUUUCACACAUACAUCAUGAUCAUUAUCACGUAAGGAAGCUAAGUAUGAAUUUGGGAAUAGAACAAAAUUUAUCAGUGG